AACGCGUGGAACAAUCCAGAGCGUGCAGGAGAGAGAAUCUGUUUGUAAACUUCGGAUUAUCCCCCUAAAAUCCGUUCCUGCGUUUUGCGCUGUCCCUGAAAGCGUCCAAGGCCAGGCUGGACAGGGCUUUGAGGUCUUUUCCAGCCCAAACCAUUCCAGAAUUCCGUGAAAAACGGAGGAAUAACGAAAAGGCCGCUCAGGAGGGGGCGGAGGUGCACGGAAAGCCCCGGGGCAGGCGCGGUGUUGCCGUGCCCGGUGCGGGUGAGCCGCUGGAUCUUCUCCACGUGCAUCCCGAGCGGAAUCCCGCGCUCCCUAAUCAAUCUCCUUCCUUGGAAUUCUCCAAGGAAUUUAAUUGGGGGGUCACCCAAAACCAGAGCUCGUGGUGGACGUGAGUGUUCCCUCAAGAGCAGCCAGAGUUUUCUGUGUCCAGGGUGACGCUCGAGAGGAAAAACUGGCUGGGAAAGAAGAGCUGCAGGCAGCAUUCCCACAUCUCCAGUGGCAGAACAACCAUCAGAGAGCAGGGUUAGGUGGGAUUUUGGGGGAUAAAAUUCCUCCCUCCGAGGGUGGUGAGGCACUGGGAUGGAUUUUCCAGAGGAUGUCCCAUCCCUGGAAGUGUCCUGGCAGAGUUGGGGUUGUCGGGGGGCUGAGUGAGCCUCAAGGUCCCUUCCAACCCAAACCAUUCCAUGAUUCUGUGACCUCCACGUGCCUGGCUGGAAGGACUGGAGGCAGCAGCACCUCCUGAGGUUUUGUUUUUGUCAGGAAUUUGGGAUGAGGACAGCAUUAACUGGUGGGGUUUUGGUGCCUUUUCCCCAGCCAGGCUUUUACUUUUCUUCUGAAACCCUGAACAGUGGAGGUGCUUCAUCUUAACCUGAGUGAAAGUGAGAGAACUGUGAUCAAAUUGGAGUUUUUUUGUGUAAUUUCUGUAGAUUUCAUCAUCCUGAAACUGCAGUGCUGCUGCAUAGAAUGGUCUAAAAUCUAAAAUAAGGCUUUUUUUAAUGGAAGAAAAAAGGCUUUUAUUUCUUUUCAUUAAAAAAGCCUCAUUUUAGGUUUUAGACCAUUCUAAGCAGAUGCAGCAGAGGAAAAGUAAUUUUGUAAAACAGGUUUUGUUGCUGUCUGGGAGGGGAAAAUCUUAUUGAGGGCCCAAUUUCUGCAGUGUCCUCGAGCUGUGGGAGCUGUCAGGAGACAAAGAUGGGAUCCCAUGGGCACAGGAUGCAGACAGAGGACAUGAAAAGGGAUUUGGGAACUUCCUCAGUGCCACAGAUGGGGAGAUUUGAGAUUCCACUGGUGCAGAGAGCAGGAUUUAUCCAGGGAUAUCCAGCUGGAUCAGGCAGAGCCUUGAGGGCUCUGUGGUGAAGCUGAGCCCAUCAGUGCUGCUGGGAACCUUCUAGAACCUGUCCCACAGUGGUGGCAUAACAAUUCCUGUCGGAAUGUGGGGACUGGAAGAGCCAGAGGAGCUGCAGGGAUGGCUGUGGCUGCUCAGGGAGUCCCCAAAGCUCAGGUGGAUGGGACAGAGGAAAUCCUCUUAAAUUCCAAAUUCCCUUUUAAACGUUUAAAUUCCCUUUUCUUUCCCAAACCCUGUGGGAGGGUGGCUGGAUCACCUUGGCAAGCUGAGCUCCCUCGGGGUUUGGGUGAGCAGGAUGGAGCUCUGACAGGUGAAGGGUGAGUGUUUGGAGAGGAGAUGUUCCCUGGGAGCACGUGCGUGCUGCUCUCCUGGGAAUCUCCGUGUGGGCAGGAGACACAAAGGAGCUCUCCAGCAGGUCCUGCCUUACUGGUUGGAGCUGGUGAGUCCUGAGUGAAGCUCACAGGGAGGUUUUUCCCUCCUCCCUUUGGGAGGAUGAGAUUGGAAAAGCAGAUAAAAGGAGGAGAGGCAGCUCCAGCACGUUCCGGGGUGAAUUCCCAGGAAAGCAGGGCAGGUUUAGGUUCAGAAACUUGGAAUUAGGGAAAUUAGGUUCCACAAACCUGGAACCACAAUUAUGGCUAAAUAAAACUCAUCUGGGAUCCCACUUCCCUGCAGCUCGGGUGUGUGUCUGUAGCCUCGAGGUGAGUGGGAUUUCUGGGAUUGCUGUGAGUUCUGCUGCUGCCUCCGAUCCCCAAUCCUGCAGAGGUCACAGGUUCUGAGCACUCUCAGGGUGAAUUCCCAGGAAAGCUGGGCAGGUUUAGGUUCAGAAAUGUGAAUUAUGGCUGAGUAAAACUAAUCUGGGAGUUUUACAUGUCUCUCCAGCUCAGACAUGUGAGCUGAGUGGGAUUUCUGGGAGCACUCUGAGUUCUGCUGGUGCCUCCAAUCCCUGAUCCUGCUGAGGCUGCUGAGGUCAGGGGUUCUGAGCAUUCUCAGGGUGAAUUCCCAGGAAAACAGGGCAGGUUUCGGUUUAGAAAUGUGGAAUUAUAAAAAUUAAGUUCCAGAAACCUGGAACCAGAAUUAUGGCAGUCAGACUCAUCUGGGAUCUUGCUGCUCUGCAGCUCAGACGUGUGAGCUGAGUGGGGUUUCUGGGAUUGCUGUGAGUUCUGCUGGUGCCUCAAAUCCCUGAUCCUGCCGAGGUCAGGGGUUCUGAGCACUCUCAGGGUGAAUUCCCAGGAAAGCUGGGCAGGUUUAGGUUCAGAAAUGUGAAUUAUGGCUGAGUAAAACUCAUCUGGGAUCCCACUGCUCUGCAGCUCAGACAUGUGAGCUGAGUGGGAUUUCUGGGAGCACUCUGAGUUCUGCUGCUGCCUCAAAUCCCUGAUCCUGCUGAGGCUGCUGAGGUCAGGGGUUGCAAGCAUUCUGGGGGUGAAUUCCCAGGAAAACAGGGCAGGUUUGGGUUCAGAAAUGUGGAAUUAUGGCAGAGUGAGACUCAUCAGGGAUCCCACUGCUCUGCAGCUCAGACAUGUGAGCUGAGUGGGGUUUCUGGGAUUGCUGUGAGUUCUGCUGCUGCCUCAAAUCUCCAAUCCUGGUGGAGCUGCUGAGGUCACAGGUUCUGAGCACUCUCAGGGUGAAUUCCCAGGAAAGCUGGGCAGGUUUAGGUUCAGAUACCUGGAAUUAAAGAAAUUAGGUUCCAGAAACCUGGAACCAGCCUUGUGGCAGAGUCAGACUCAUCUGGGAUCCCACUGCUCUGCAGCUCAGACAUGUGAGCUGAGUGGGAUUUCUGGGAGCACUCUGAGUUCUGCUGCUGCCUCAAAUCCCUGAUCCUGGUGGAGCUGCUGAGGUCACAGGUUCUGAGCACUCUCAGGGUGAAUUCCCAGGAAAGCUGGGCAGGGUUAGGUUCAGAAAUGUGAAUUAUGGCAGAGUCAGACUCAUCUGGGAUCCCACUGCUCUGCAGCUCAGACGUGUGAGCUGAGUGGGAUUUCUGGGAGCACUCUGAGUUCUGCUGCUGCCUCAAAUCUCCAAUCCUGGUGGAGCUGCUGAGGUCAGAGCCAGGAGCCUCCCUGGGAAGGCUGGAGAUGUCUCCAUUGAGAGCUGGAAGUGCUAACACCAUCCAUCCCCCUGUCACCGGGCAGGGACACUGAGAUUUCUGUUAAUAACAGAGCUGGAGCAACGUUCCGUGUGCCCCAUGCUGGGGGGUUUUGUCUCCCAGCCCAGAGGGAGCAGAGCAGGGCAUUUCUCAUCCUCCUUUCCUCUUGAGAGUCUUUAUUUCCUCGUUAAAAGAGGAAAAUCUGUGUCCAAGAAGGGUUUAAAAAUACCACAGUAAGAAAAUUGCUGCUCUGCUGCUGCUGCACUUCACCUGAAUACGGUGAUAAUUAACAUUCCCUGAAAUGCUGCUGUGAGGUUUUCACCCCUGGAACAGCUGAAACUCGAGGCUGAAUUCAGAAUCCACUUCUUUUUAUUCUUUUGGAAAUUAAAUCUUUGGAGAUUGGUCCCUGCCCAGCUGUUGUGGCUGCCCAAGGCAUCGUGGCCAUUCUGCAGCUUUUCCCUCAGCUGGCACCAGUUUGUCCAGUGUGGCACUGGGGGAGCUCAGAGGUGGCUGUUUUGGGGUUCAGCUGGAGCUGGGCUGUGCCCUGGUGGGGUUCAUCCCUAGGAAAUGUGGAGGGGAGCAGCAGGAGCCUUUGGGUGGAUCCCUUUGUGCCCUCUAUGUGCCACAGCUCGAUGCCAGCAAUGAAUUGAUGAUCAGGUGAGUCAAAACCUUCAUCUGGAAGUUUAGCAAAUGGUCUGAAAAGUUAUUUUUUGGUCAGUUACUGGCUUGGAGAGCAGCAGGAGAGGCCUCAGCUUGGUGAGAUGGCUGUCACAGACCUUGUUCCCUGGUUUAGAUCCUUGUACAGCUCACAGCCUGCCACCUCAUCCCACUGCAGGGCCAUCAGCUGGGGAAAAUUCCUCCCUGUGAGGCUGGUGAGGCACAGGAAUGGCAGAUAAAGGGGGAAAUAAGGUCCAAGAACAGAUUAAUAUGGGAUAUUGGGAUGAAAUUCCUCCCUGUGAGGCACAGGAAUGGCAGAUAACAGGGGAGAUGAGGUUCAAGAACAGAUUAAUAUGGGAUAUUGAGAUGAAAUUCCUCCCGGUGAGGCACAGGAAUGGCAGAUAAAGGGGGAAAUAAGGUUCAAGAAGAGAUUUAGGUGGGAUAUUGGGAUGAAAUUCCUCCCUGUGAGCCCUGGAAUAUCAGAUAAAGGAGGAGAUGAGGUUCAAGAACAGACUAAUAUGGGAUAUUGAGAUGAAAUUCCUCCCUGUGAGCCCUGGAAUGGCAGAUAAAGGAGGAGAUGAGGUUCAAGAACAGACUAAUAUGGGAUAUUUGGAUGAAAUCCUCCCUGUGAGCCCUGGAAUGGAUCCCCCACCCCUGGAAGUGUCCAAGGCCAGGUUGGCCAACCUGGGCUGGUGAAAAGUGUCCCUGCCAUGGCAGGGGGUGGCACUGGCUGAACUUUAGGGUCCCUCCCAAGCAUUCCACGAUUCCUUGGGAGGACAAAGGAGUGUGAGGAACACCCCUGGGCUCUGUGCCUGUGCAGCAGCCGUGUGGUUCUGGAAUGCAGCCGUUCCCUGAUUCCCUGGGCUGGGCCUUGUUGCCAGGGGAGGGCUGGAAGGGGGGAGGAGGUGUCUGAGCCCAGCCAGGUCGUUCUCCCUGCUCCAGGGAGCACUGAGCAGUGCAGGUGAGUGAGGUCUCUGCAAACACAGCAGUUGCUCGGGAGCUCUGUGGUUUUUUCCCAGCUCCCCUGGACACGCUGUUGAUUUUUGAGGUGGUUGUGCAAAGGCAGAAGAAUUCCAAAGUGCAUGGGAGUCCCAGUGUGAGUGCUUGGGAGGUUGUAAAGAGCUUGGAGCAGUGAUUCUCCAGCCUGUGCUGGCUCCAUUGGGACUUAAUCAUAACAAAUCCAUUUUUUACAGUAUCAAUACCCCAAAAAUAUUGAUUUUUUUUUUAAUUUUGCUUUAGGUUUUAACUCUUUGCGUGACAAAAACCUCUCUGAAAUCUGCCCGUGCAGCUGCUGCCUCAGUCUGCGGUAGCUCAUCUUGAAGUUUAUCAAACUUUUGAUCUGCUGAAACGUUUAUUUCAGUCUCAGAUUUCAGUGGCUCCUCCCAGGAGCUUUCUGGGGGCGUCACACUCCGAAUACAUAAUUUCUUUUUAUUCCAGCUCUCUCUUUUCAACUUAAAUCCCCUUUAAAGAAUACAGUCAGCUCAAAAUGCAGGUUUUUAGUGCAGAAAGGCUAUUUUUUUGGUUGGAUUUCUUGUUGGAAAUCAAUGCCCUCGUGUCCCUGCUGUGC